rnacentral:tRNA from 1 species
UCCCUGGUGGCUCAGACAGUAAAGAAUCCACCUGCAAUGUGGGAGACCUAGGUUCAAUUCCUGGGUUGGGAA